rnacentral:rRNA from 1 species
GCGUUAUUCGGAAUUAUUGGGCGUAAAGGGCGCGUAGGCGGCUCGACAAGUGGAAGGUGAAAUCCCUCGGCUUAACCGAGGAACUGCCCUCCAAACUGUUUUGCUUGAGGCCGGGAGAGGUGAGUGGAAUUCCCAGUGUAGCGGUGAAAUGCGUAGAUAUUGGGAGGAACACCAGUGGCGAAGGCGGCUCACUGGACCGGUUCUGACGCUGAGGCGCGGAAGCGUG